GUUUCUUUUUAUUAGUCGCUAGAUAGUACAAAAUUGCACUAUCCAGCGACUAAUAAAAAGAAACGGAGGGAGUAAUUAAUUAGCACAAGCAACAGAAAUAAACAAAACAUGUCGCUGUCACCUGCUCCGAUGCCUUUGAUUGCAGUGGGUGGUGUGGAUCAUCAGAAGCGCAUCCAAGGUCAGGUCAGGUGUGUGGGGGCAUGGCAUGGCAGGUAUGGAGGAGUUGCUGACGCUGCUGUUCAACGCGCUGCUGCUGGUGUUCGUGGUGAAGCUCUUGCUGGCCUUGUUCCACACCAAGAUCAUCGUCAUCCUCCUCUACAUCCUCGUCCUCCUCUUCGCCAUGCUCCUCUCCGGCAGAUUCCCCGGUUGAUAUUAUCUACUCAUACUCCCCCAUCUGAGUUGUUCUCGCUUGUAGCCCUGCCCUGUAUCACGUCUACUAUUAAAGUAACCUCCAUUCACAAAUACUAUCAUAUACACAGAUUGUCUUCGAUUGAUUGAUCUGUUGGAUUGGAUUGGAUCUGAAAGGAGCCGGAAAUGGGGAAAAAUGAGGAGUAAGAAGAGAAAAGGGAGCGCCGCCGCGAGGGAAAGGGCCAAGGAAAGGGAAGGCUCUUCUUUUGCCCUCCCAGCGAAACCAAGCCCCGUUCUGGAAGGGAGGCGGAGACCUUUCGUUGCACAGCACAGCACAGCCACCGUGUAACUGCCGGAACACGGAUGGGGAUCCGCCGUUGCAUUCUCUCUUCUCCACACCAUAAGCAGGACACCGAUGCUAUUUCCACUACACCAUAAGCAGUGAUGGUUGGCGAAGUAAUCCGAUUCCAAUGCAGACAUUUUUCCAGUCAGCAAUGGGCACUGCAUCUAGUUUCAUCUGCGCUAUCUCCUGGUUCUUUUCAGUCAGCAGCCAUUGGUGGCGAAAUCAGGAUCCGAAUAGCUUGCUGUUCUGUAUGUAUUGAACUGCUGAUCACGCUAAUCAGUGUACGUCGUGGCAAGAAC
rnacentral:misc_RNA from 1 species